UACGAAGGGGGCUAGCGUUGCUCGGAAUUACUGGGCGUAAAGCGCACGUAGGCGGCUUUCUAAGUCGGGGGUGAAAUCCUGGAGCUCAACUCCAGAACUGCCUUCGAUACUGGAAAGCUCGAGUCCGGGAGAGGUGAGUGGAACUGCGAGUGUAGAGGUGAAAUUCGUAGAUAUUCACAAGAACACCAGUGGCGAAGGCGGCUCACUGGCCCGAUACUGACGCUGAGGCACGAAAGCGUGGGGAGCAAACAGG
rnacentral:rRNA from 1 species